ensembl:lncRNA
GACGGUUUCUCGAGUUCACGCGGGAAUUUAUGAUGGAGUUAUACUAAAAUAGCGGGUUUCGAUUUAGGGUUAAAAGAAGGUAGGCUUAUGUAUAGUUAACAUCACUUGAAGAGACGUUUAAGUGUACUACAACGCUAAUUUGACAAGAGUCUAUCAAGUGACAGGCUUAUCUAAUUAUGGAUUUGGUGCCUUUCCAGACUCCAUAGUGACCUCAAACUGUGCAAUAUCCGCCUUCACUGUCUCUCAGCAAUUACAGGGACCCAAAUGAUGAUCUAUACAGGCAGAGAGCAACGCUCCGGCCAAUGGAGACAGAUGGGAUACAUUCAGCUGGUUCCCUCCACAGCUUUAAUGUAGAGGAUUCUAAGAAGAAGAAAUGACCAGACAAAAGCGCCUGUGAGACACUGCUUCAUUUGACGAGUGGUGCUGUGAUGGUCACGCUUCAAAACACCACUUUAUGUGUGUGUGUGUUUUCUCCUUUCAAAUCUUACAUUUCAUGAGAAAGACCACAGGGAAUUGAAAACAUACUGAGGGCCCUUAGGCUGAUCACAUGUUCUCUUCCUAUCAUAAACGGGAAGCAGUAACGCUGGAAGGAAACUCAUUUAGCAUGUGGAUAUCAUGCACUCAUUAGAACACACAGUCAAAAAUAAUUUUGCA